rnacentral:rRNA from 1 species
GACGAAGGGGGCUAGCGUUGUUCGGAAUUACUGGGCGUAAAGCGCGUGUAGGCGGUUGUCCAAGUUGGAUGUGAAAGCCUUGAGCUCAACUCAAGAAAUGCAUUCAGGACUGGAUGACUAGAGGACCGGAGAAGAUAGUGGAAUUCCCAGUGUAGUGGUGAAAUACGUAGAGAUUGGGAAGAACACCAGUGGCGAAGGCGACUUCCUGGCCGUGUUCUUGACGCUGAGGCGCGAAAGCUAGGGGAGCAAACGGG